rnacentral:sRNA from 1 species
CGCGCCACUGCAUUCCAGCCUGGCGACAGAGUGAGACUCCCUCAAAAAACAAACAGACAAAAAAAAACACCGUAGUAUAUAUUCACUCUUACUGUGUAAGAGUUAGAUAAAACUAAGCACAAAACAUGACACUCCCCUUUGCUUUACCCCCACUGCACUGCCAGAGGGAAAACCUUCCCUUUCUAUCCAUCUACACACAAAUUUGUUUAUUUUGUUUUCAAAAUAAAAGAGAUUGUGCUA